AUUGAACGCUGGCGGCAGGCCUAACACAUGCAAGUCGAACGAGUGGCGGACGGGUGAGUAAUGUCUGGGAAACUGCCUGAUGGAGGGGGAUAACUACUGGAAACGGUAGCUAAUACCGCAUACCAUCGGAUGUACCCAGAUGGGAUUAGCUAGUAGGUGGGGUAAAGGCUCACCUAGGCGACGAUCCCUAGCUGGUCUGAGAGGAUUACCGGCCACACUGGAACGGUGACACGGUCCCGACUCCUCGGUGAGGCAGCGGUGGGGAAUAUUGCAAAAUGGGGGCAAGCCUGCUGCAGCCAUGCCGCGUGUAUGAAGAAGGCCUUCGGGUUGUAAAGUACUUUCAGCGGGGAGGCGUUACCCGCAGAAGAAGCCACGGCUAACUACGUGCCAGCAGCCGCGGUAAUUC
rnacentral:rRNA from 1 species